UGCCUUCCAUAUGCUGAAAACUGAUAGCUCUAUAAUUGAUCACAUGCAUAGAGAAUUUAGCAUGUGUUAUUGUAAGCAUGGUUGAGAAUCUAAAGUCAUGUGAAGUGAUCUAGUUAAUGUAGAAUGCAAAAGAUAACAGAGGUGUGAUAGUUAUGCAUGAUCUAUCAAAUGAUGAACUUCAAACUACAGCGCCACAAUCUAGAAACAAGAAAAAAUUGCUUCCAAUGUCUCAGACUCAUGAACUUUGGCGCACACAUCAGAUGUGUAUUGUUUGAUGACAGAAUGUCACGGGUCGCGGACGGCAGGUGCAAGGCCUCUUCGUUGCAGCAACAUUUAAACUACUUAACUAAGUAGCAUUUUAAAGACUUUAAAAAUUCCCAUUCAGAUGAAAACUGAAACUAGAGUUCUGGCUAACCUUUAUAUAUGAAAGUGUCAUGAAACACAUUAAUAUCAUACUUCACUGAUUGUACAAUACAUUCAAAUAUAUUUAGGUUUUGUGGUUACGUGUAGGAUUAAGGUUGUUAACAUGAAAUAUAUGCAUUUACACAAGAAGUUUAAUAUAGCAAAGUACCUUGUAAUAAGGUCAUCUAAACCAGCAGUAAGCAGCUUCUCCUACAUUGACAUCCACUGACCGCACUUGGUGUAUAUUUAGAAUGAAACUCAACCACUUCUGUCAGAAUAAGAGAUGACUGUGCCUGCUUUCAUAAUCUGUGUCCAAACUGCAUGAAUUGGUCAACCUUGCUUGAAAACACAUUUCUGUAAUAAUUGAAUCUCUGAUGCGUGUGUGUAUGGUAAUAUCCCUUUCCUUGAGCAGGGCCAGUUUCAAAACCUACAAUCACCAUGGACUGCAUUGAUACCCUCUGCACCCUGACCUGCGAGGGACGGGAAGAUGGAUUCACAACAUACACCUGGGCUAAUGGCAUUGAAGAGUGGCCUGGAUCUGAACUGACUGUGGAGAAGAUAGACCAUGAUGUGGUCCACACCUGUAACUUCAGUAAUCCAGUGAGCUGGGCAUCCAGCAACGGGACAGUCAAACAUGUACCGCCUUCACCAGUUCCAGGACUUGGUCUAGCUAAUGGAGUAAGAAUUGGAGUAGUAAUUGCAGUGUUAAUUAUAGGUUCAUGUAUUCUACUUCAGCUGGUGUUAAAAAAGCAAGGAAACAAAAAUCAACCUGAAGCUAACCAAGAUCCAUCACAUGAUGUUGUGACAGAAGUGCAGAACAGUUGUUUGUAUGUCACGAGAGCAGAAGGAGCGUGAUGGAGGUGAGGAAAAUCAACAACUGCCAAACACUGGUAUGUAAGACGACAAAGGAACCUGAAUAUUUACAUAGUAAUUAUCUAUUACCAUAAGGCAGCUAGAGUUCCUCAUGUACUGUCUUUUUCCUCCCCAUUAGUAAGUUGCAGUGAAGACAUACUAUAUACAGCGUCUUCAGCAUGUCACUAUCUGUGUUUGAAGUCAAAUAAUGUCUCUACAUCAUGUUAGUUUACAAAAAAAGACUGGUGUUGAUAUUUGUUUUGUUUUGUUUUUGUAGUUAAUGUGGGGUUUUCGCUGUCUACAUGGCAAGUUAUUCAAGCAAAUGAAUGCCUAGGUGUUAAUUGGAAAUUUUACAGAAUAUAUUGCCAUUAACAGAAAACACUGUCAGGUGGCACUGUUUAAAGUCUAAAUCAAUGUUUGCAACUUUGGUAGCAUAAUAAUAGUAACAUUGACAACAAAAACAUAUUUGUAAAGGUUUUAAAACUGCAAGUGUAGUGUAUGAAUGAGCCAGUAGAUGGCCAAGUGAAUGUUCUCUGUUCAUUGUGUGAAGAGAUAUUUAGUUUUAUACAUACUGCAAAUGUUCUCUGUUCAUUGUGUGGAGAGAUAUUUCGUUUUAUACGUACUUUGUGAGAAGAGAUAUUUUUAUACAUACUUUGUGAGAGAUAUUUUGUUUUUAUACUUAUUUUGUGAAAAGAAAUAUUUCGUUUUAUACAUACUUUGUGAAAAUAGAUAUUUAGGUUUAUACUUUGCAAGUUUUUUUCUCAUGACUGGAGUGUUUGUACAUUUGAGGCGUAAAAUGAGUCCCACCAUUUACUGUAACAGUCAAGAAUAUUAAUUGUAUUGUAUAUUCUGAUGCACCUCUGUCUUGUGACGUUUGUGUGAGCUGAUGGGCAUUGUUUGCCUCCUGACCCCCCCUCACUCUCCCAUGCCCCUCUCCCUUCUCCUGGGCACAGGUCAUUCUGGGGUCACACCUGGCCACAUUUUAGGGGUGAAAUCUAUUUAGUGAGUAGAGGGCGUCAGCACAUUGGGGGUUGAUAUCAUUUUAAUGGCCUGUGUGAGUAGGCCUAUAAGGGUCACAGUUGUUGAACAAUAAGUUGGAUCUUUAAAAGGUCUCCAGAAACAUGCGGAAAUGUCCUUUAUAAGGUCUCCAUUCCAGUGACACUCCCACCUGGGGUCAAAACAUGUCCUACUCCUUGCCACUCGGAUAAGGAGAUGGCCCCAUUGGUCAAAGGUCCUUAGAUGUGUAAAUAGGUUAUUUAUGCAAAUUUCCAUUUGUCAUGUAAUUUAAGAAUGCAUUUUUUUUUGGUUGUGUAUUAUUACUAGAAGUAUUGAAUCUUUAUGCUUUUAUUUUUGACUUAGCUUAAUCAUUGCGUAAUCAUGUUAGAAAACAUCUUUGAAUUUGCAAUGCGUGAAUUGUGUGAAUGCCUGUAAGUGGCUCCUUUGUGAACUCAGAUACAGUAAAUCCUUGUAGUAAAUUCUAAGAGAGACAUAACAUUAUUAACUAUCACUCUGGUAAUAUCUAGCCACGACUGCAACAGCAGUGGUGAAUAAAUAACUGGAGUCAGAUUGGUCAAGAGAUAGUUUCACCAUCUAAGCAGUCUCACCUGGGCACCGGAUAAGACAGUUAUACAUUGAACCUUUGGCCGUUAGUCUGGUCUCCACACCUGGGCCAACAGCGGCUUCCUCCACAAUAUAACAGAUGGAUUUUUAAAUAUAUAAAUUACUGUAUUACUUUUGGUCAGAAAGUCUUGUCUGAGGCAUGGUAAGAUAUUUUAUUGGGUUACUCACAGUAGACAACAGAUCUGUGUAGUUUAGGUAGACUACAUGAAAGUACAUCAAUGAUACCUACAGUAGGAUGAAAGUUAGAUGAUCAGUUCUUACUGGAAAAAGGGAAAAGGUGCCCCGUUGCUGUUGUUGUUUAAUAUGAUGCUCUAUUUUUGCAUGCUAAAGACACGUUUUCUCACACAAAUACUGCCAUUAUGCCAUUAAGCAUGAGCUCUGUAUUUCUAUGUGUCGUUGCCAGGCAGCUCCCCCAUGCCCUAUAUUUUGUCUUCAUUUAAAGUCUGUGCUAUCAUAGUUAAAAUAUGCAUAGGUGGAACACACAUUAUGUGAGAGCACCAAUGCAGGAAUCAUGUAAAGACCUUUAGGUAUUGAUACAGAAGCGUCACAAUCAUACAUGGUAUCUCCUUCCUCUGUUUUGAUGUGUAUUGCUGUUCAGACUUUUUUUUUUUUUUAAUCUUUUUCUUAAAUCUCUGACGUGGUUUGUCGUUUUUUCACUAUUCUCUUCAGGUGUAUUAGAUUGAAAUGAUACAUUUGAGAAUAGAAAUGAUUGGCAGACUUGCAAUUGUCUGUUGUGUUAAUAAAGCUUUUUUUCAGCA